UUGAAAGGGAAACGAUUGAAGUCAGUCGUACCGACGGAGGAUCAACCUUUGAAAGCGGGUCGAGGUAUUCGAGGAGUUUAAAAGCCCUCUUGCGCCCACGUACUUCGUUUUCUUUGGUGCACUUCUUCGUAUGGUAGGUUAACAUCAAUUUUGGACGUUACAAAAUGAUCGGGGGAAUGUAGCUUCGAUUUUUUCGAAGUGUUAUAGACCUUGGUAGAUGUGACGACCGGGAUUGAGGAUUGCAACGAAUGCUUUCGGGCUAUCCGUCUGACCUCUGGUGGUUGCUUUAGGGUCGAAAGCGUGCUUACGACUUUAAAGUUGGCUAUCAAAAGGCUAGAACGUGAUUAAAUUCGUUAAGGAUGUUGACGUA
rnacentral:rRNA from 1 species